AUUGAACGCUGGCGGCAUGCUUUACACAUGCAAGUCGAACGGUAACAGGCCUUCGGGUGCUGACGAGUGGCGAACGGGUGAGUAAUGCAUCGGAACGUACCCAGAGGUGGGGGAUAGCGCAGCGAAAGCUGUGCUAAUACCGCAUGUGAUCUGAGGAUGAAAGCGGGGGACCGAGCAGCAAUGUUUGGCCUCGCGCCUUUGGAGCGGCCGAUGUCGGAUUAGCUAGUUGGUGGGGUAAAGGCCUACCAAGGCGACGAUCCGUAGCUGGUCUGAGAGGACGACCAGCCACACUGGGACUGAGACACGGCCCAGACUCCUACGGGAGGCAGCAGUGGGGAAUUUUGGACAAUGGGCGCAAGCCUGAUCCAGCAAUGCCGCGUGCGGGAAGAAGGCCUUCGGGUUGUAAACCGCUUUUGGCAGGAACGAAACGGUGUCCGCUAAUACCGGGCGCUAAUGACGGUACCUGCAGAAUAAGCACCGGCGAACUACGU
rnacentral:rRNA from 1 species